rnacentral:rRNA from 1 species
UACGUAGGGACCGAGCGUUGUCCGGAAUCAUUGGGCGUAAAGAGCGUGUAGGCGGCUCGCUAAGUCUUGCGUGAAAUCUCGGGGGCUCAACCCCCGAGCGGUCGUGAGAAACUGGCGGGCUAGAGUGCGGGAGAGGAGAGUUGGAAUUCCUGGUGUAGCGGUGAAAUGCGCAGAUAUCAGGAAGAACACCCGUGGCGAAGGCGGCUCUCUGGAACGCAACUGACGCUGAGACGCGAAAAGCGUGGGGGAGCAAAAC